UCUUGAAUAAAAUAAAGAAUCGAAAUUCCUAAUCCACUCCUACCCUUGAUUUUCAUACCGAAUUAAGAUCACUGAGCUUGCUUUAAACCUAAACGCUUCUAAGUAUAGAACGCAAUAUCCCAAAGUUCGAAUUGGUUUAAAGAAUCGAAUUUCCUGAAAAAAAUAUUAAAGUGAAUGUUACAUGCACUGAAUGAGAAUUAAUGCUUUGAGUUUGGUGAAAAUAUGGAACAGUGCAGCAUGUGAAUGACUUGACGAUUUUCACGGCGAGGGACUUAGUAAAUAAAAUUUCCGAGAUCUGACGGAUAACUCGAGUAUCAUCUACACAAACUAACAAUAAAUUUGAAAACCCGAGCAAUUAAAUAUUCAGUGCGGUUAAAAAAAGCUCUCCGCCCACAUUGCCGAUCUUGCCCAAGUUCUACAGAUGGUAUUUUCGCGAUCGAUUACACAGGUCUGCAUUAAUUUGAAAAAACAAAACAAAAACAAAACAAAGUAAAACUUCAGCGAAAUUUGCGAUGAAAAGUUAGGAUCGUCCUUAUCUGUGACAAUUACAGGUAUAUUUAUAGGAAUUGAACCAAUCUUUUUUCCCUUAAGUAUUCUAUUGAAGCCUCUGAGCACGCCUAUGCGGCUAAAAAUAAGAUCCUAGAAAGGAAGUGAUUAAGUCGUCUUGACUGAGUUGUCGUGGGAGAUGAAAUGUCCGGGCGUGAACAUCUCCGGAGAAAUUAAGCAGUUCUUUUAAUUACAGACGUCUAUUCCAUGAAAUAAUAUAUUCUCUAUUUAGUAAUCAAAAUGCAAUUUGCUGCAGCAUAACUACUCUGAUAAAAUCUUUUUCUAAAACAAAGGCACUCCUACACAUCUCUGACAAGAUUUUGCGCUAAAUUAGAUUCCUCUUAUAUCAUUACAGAUAGAAUAUCUUUAAUUCUCUCUGUCCAAGCAGCACUUAAUGUGGAAAACUUACGGAAGAUUUUAUCUUAGUUAUCCGAUUUGCCGCCGAUGCGAUCAAGCUAUUCAAAGCAGUGAAUGCAUUCAGUUCGAAUUCUCUUGUAGCCCUGCGCUUUUGUUUUAGACUUCAAUAAACUUUUAAUAGCGGAUUUUAACGCGGAUUUAAUUGCAACCGUGCCUUAAUUUCAGCUGCUUUUGUAUUCUCUGCUUUUCAUAACAAAUACGUUUAGUUCUGAUUUUAAUGGACUCAUUCGGGAAUAUAGCACUCCCUCUGCCGGAAACAAGCUCAACGUUUACCGAUUCAACGCGCGAGAAGGAGUUUAGACCCGAAACUGUGCCACUUUUUUGAAACCCGGCAAGCUUAAGUGGAUUGAGUCAAGCGUGUAAUCUGUAAUUGUCUUAGGGGCGGAAAUAAUGGAAGAGGCAAAAUUAGUUUUGUGACGACACUGCAUGACGUAGAACUUGACAAAGUGAUUGAUAUCUCAGCUUACGUUAAUCCUGUUUGAAAGAUGUGCAUUAACGAUUUUAGUUGCAUUAAAGAAAAGCUCUUACUGUAAGUGGCUUUCGCUCAUAGCAUUAGAUAUAUUCGGCGCAAAUCAGUCCUGUUGGCGAAUAGAUAACAGAUAAAUUGGGACCUAUAUAUUGGAACCGCUGUGUGAAUUUCAAUAUUUAAGCACUCCUUUUCAAAGAACAAAGAGGUCAUGUCUCUCUACGAGCGCGCACGACACUAUCGUUCCCACUCCCUCAAACCUCUCAAUCAACCAAGUUUACUUACCCAGCGUUCCAAGCGCACACUCAGCCUGCCAAGCA